AACGUUUCUUGGUGCUUCGGUUCAGAACAAAGUGCAAUAUCUGUUCUUAUCAGUUUAAUCUUUGAUAUGUGGUUUAUUGUCCGUAAUAAAACUAUCAUCUUUUUAACACUUAAAGGAUUUGAAUCGGCUUUAUUGUCAUCUUCUAUAGGUUGAUACGGCAUUAAAUCUACGUCAGGAAGCGGUCAAGCUGGC
rnacentral:snRNA from 1 species